rnacentral:pre_miRNA from 1 species
AUAUUACUCCCUCCGUACCAAAAUUAUUGUCUUAAGUUUGUCUAGAAAUGUAUGUAUCUACAUACUAAAAUGUGACUAGAUACAUUCAUAUAUAGACAAAUCUAAGACAAGAAUUUUGAAACGGGGGG